rnacentral:rRNA from 1 species
CGAAAGCCUGACGGAGCAAUACCGCGUGAGGGAGGAAGGUCCUUGGAUUGUAAACCUCUUUUAUCAGGGAAGAAGUUCUGACGGUACCUGAUGAAUAAGCAUCGGCUAACUCCGUGCCAGCAGCCGCGGUAAUACGGAGGAUGCAAGCGUUAUCCGGAAUUAUUGGGCGUAAAGCGUCCGUAGGUGGUUAUGCAAGUCUGCCGUUAAAGAAUGGAGCUUAACUCCAUAGGAGCGGUGGAAACUGCAAGACUAGAGUACAGUAGGGGUAGCAGGAAUUCCCAGUGUAGCGGUGAAAUGCGUAGAUAUUGGGAAGAACAUCGGUGGCGAAAGCGU